CAGGACGAACGCUGGCGGCGUGCCUAACACAUGCAAGUCGAGCGGGGACAUACGACGGAGUCAAAGUUUCGGAUGGAGACGAAGAUGUAUGUUCUAGCGGCGGACGGGUGAGUAACGCGUGAGCAACCUGUCCCUUACAGGGGGAUAACACAGCGAAAGUUGUACUAAUACCGCAUGAGACCACGGGUAGACAUCUACCAGGGGUCAAAGGAGCAAUCCGGUAAGGGGUGGGCUCGCGUCCGAUUAGAUAGUUGGUGAGGUAACGGCCCACCAAGUCGACGAUCGGUAGCCGACCUGAGAGGGUGAUCGGCCACAUUGGGACUGAGACACGGCCCAAACUCCUACGGGAGGCAGCAGUGGGGAAUAUUGGGCAAAUGGGGGAAACCCUGACCCAGCAACGCCGCGUGAGGGAAGAAGGUUUUCGGAUCGUAAACCUCUGUCCUUGGUGAAGAGGAAGAGACGGUAGCCAAGGAGGAAGCCCCGGCUAACUACGUGCCAGCCGCGGC
rnacentral:rRNA from 1 species